AGGAAUUGGCGGGGGAGCACUACAACGGGUGGAGCCUGCGGUUCAAUUGGAUUCAACGCCGGAAAGCUUACCGGGUCAGACAGCAAUAUGAAGGUCAAGCUAAAGACUUUACCGAAUUCGCUGAGAGGAGGUGCAUGGCCGUCGCCAGUUCGUAUCGUGAGACAUCCUGUUAAGUCAGGCAACGAGCAAGACCCGUGCCCACAGUUGCCAGCAUACCCUCCGGGGUGAUGGGCACACUGUGGGGACCGCCGCUGCUAAAGCGGAGGAAGGUGCGGGCUACGGUAGGUCAGUAUGCCCCGAACCAUCCGGGCUACACGCGGGCUACAAUGGUUGGGACAAUGGGCACCUACACCGAGAGGUGAUGGUAAUCUCCUAAACCCAGCCUUAGUUCGGAUUGAGGGCUGCAACUCGCCCUCAUGAAGCCGGAAUCCGUAGUAAUCGCGUAUCAAUAUCACGCGGUGAAUACGUCCCUGCUCCUUGCACACACCGCCCGUCAAACCAUGCGAGUGAGGUCUGAAUGAGGGCACGCUUUUUGGCGUGUUCGAAUUUGGGCUUCGCGAGUGGGGUUAAGUCGUAACAAGGUAACCUCAGUCAGUCA
rnacentral:rRNA from 1 species